UAAAAGGGACCUCUCCUCAAAAGGAACUGGA
rnacentral:piRNA from 1 species